CCCUUAGAUGUUCUGGGCCGCACGCGCGCUACACUGAUGAAUGCAACGAGCUCUACCCUUGACCGAAAGGCCCGGGUAAACUUGUGAAACUUCAUCGUGAUGGGGAUAGAUUAUUGCAAUUAUUAAUCUUCAACGAGGAAUUCCUAGUAAGCGCGAGUCAUCAGCUCGCGUUGAUUACGUCCCUGCCCUUUGUACACACCGCCCGUUGCUCCUACCGAUCGAAGAGUUAGGUGAAUUGUUUUGAUCGAUAAGAUUUGACUAUGGUCAACUCUCGUUGUGAAAUUCUGUGAAUCUGACUGUUUAGAGGAAGGAAAAGUCGUAACA
rnacentral:rRNA from 1 species